rnacentral:rRNA from 1 species
UUAAGCGACUAAGCGUACACGGUGGAUGCCCUGGCAGUCAGAGGCGAUGAAGGACGUGCUAAUCUGCGAUAAGCGUCGGUAAGGUGAUAUGAACCGUUAUAACCGGCGAUUUCCGAAUGGGGAAACCCAGUGUGAUUCGUCACACUAUCAUUAACUGAAUCCAUAGGUUAAUGAGGCGAACCGGGGGAACUGAAACAUCUAAGUACCCCGAGGAAAAGAAAUCAACCGAGAUUCCCCCAGUAGCGGCGAGCGAACGGGGAGCAGCCCAGAGCCUGAAUCAGUGUGUGUGUUAGUGGAAGCGUCUGGAAAGGCGCGCGAUACAGGGUGACAGCCCCGUACACAAAAAUGCACAUACUGUGAGCUCGAUGAGUAGGGCGGGACACGUGGUAUCCUGUCUGAAUAUGGGGGGACCAUCCUCCAAGGCUAAAUACUCCUGACUGACCGAUAGUGAACCAGUACCGUGAGGGAAAGGCGAAAAGAACCCCGGCGAGGGGAGUGAAAAAGAACCUGAAACCGUGUACGUACAAGCAGUGGGAGCACAGAGCAAUCUGUGUGACUGCGUACCUUUUGUAUAAUGGGUCAGCGACUUAUAUUCUGUAGCAAGGUUAACCGAAUAGGGGAGCCGAAGGGAAACCGAGUCUUAACUGGGCGUUAAGUUGCAGGGUAUAGACCCGAAACCCGGUGAUCUAGCCAUGGGCAGGUUGAAGGUUGGGUAACACUAACUGGAGGACCGAACCGACUAAUGUUGAAAAAUUAGCGGAUGACUUGUGGCUGGGGGUGAAAGGCCAAUCAAACCGGGAGAUAGCUGGUUCUCCCCGAAAGCUAUUUAGGUAGCGCCUCGUGAAUUCAUCUCCGGGGGUAGAGCACUGUUUCGGCAAGGGGGUCAUCCCGACUUACCAACCCGAUGCAAACUGCGAAUACCGGAGAAUGUUAUCACGGGAGACACACGGCGGGUGCUAACGUCCGUCGUGAAGAGGGAAACAACCCAGACCGCCAGCUAAGGUCCCAAAGUCAUGGUUAAGUGGGAAACGAUGUGGGAAGGCCCAGACAGCCAGGAUGUUGGCUUAGAAGCAGCCAUCAUUUAAAGAAAGCGUAAUAGCUCACUGGUCGAGUCGGCCUGCGCGGAAGAUGUAACGGGGCUAAACCAUGCACCGAAGCUGCGGCAGCGACGCUUAUGCGUUGUUGGGUAGGGGAGCGUUCUGUAAGCCUGCGAAGGUGUGCUGUGAGGCAUGCUGGAGGUAUCAGAAGUGCGAAUGCUGACAUAAGUAACGAUAAAGCGGGUGAAAAGCCCGCUCGCCGGAAGACCAAGGGUUCCUGUCCAACGUUAAUCGGGGCAGGGUGAGUCGACCCCUAAGGCGAGGCCGAAAGGCGUAGUCGAUGGGAAACAGGUUAAUAUUCCUGUACUUGGUGUUACUGCGAAGGGGGGACGGAGAAGGCUAUGUUGGCCGGGCGACGGUUGUCCCGGUUUAAGCGUGUAGGCUGGUUUUCCAGGCAAAUCCGGAAAAUCAAGGCUGAGGCGUGAUGACGAGGCACUACGGUGCUGAAGCAACAAAUGCCCUGCUUCCAGGAAAAGCCUCUAAGCAUCAGGUAACAUCAAAUCGUACCCCAAACCGACACAGGUGGUCAGGUAGAGAAUACCAAGGCGCUUGAGAGAACUCGGGUGAAGGAACUAGGCAAAAUGGUGCCGUAACUUCGGGAGAAGGCACGCUGAUAUGUAGGUGAAGUCCCUCGCGGAUGGAGCUGAAAUCAGUCGAAGAUACCAGCUGGCUGCAACUGUUUAUUAAAAACACAGCACUGUGCAAACACGAAAGUGGACGUAUACGGUGUGACGCCUGCCCGGUGCCGGAAGGUUAAUUGAUGGGGUCAGCGCAAGCGAAGCUCUUGAUCGAAGCCCCGGUAAACGGCGGCCGUAACUAUAACGGUCCUAAGGUAGCGAAAUUCCUUGUCGGGUAAGUUCCGACCUGCACGAAUGGCGUAAUGAUGGCCAGGCUGUCUCCACCCGAGACUCAGUGAAAUUGAACUCGCUGUGAAGAUGCAGUGUACCCGCGGCAAGACGGAAAGACCCCGUGAACCUUUACUAUAGCUUGACACUGAACAUUGAGCCUUGAUGUGUAGGAUAGGUGGGAGGCUUUGAAGUGUGGACGCCAGUCUGCAUGGAGCCGACCUUGAAAUACCACCCUUUAAUGUUUGAUGUUCUAACGUGGACCCGUAAUCCGGGUUGCGGACAGUGUCUGGUGGGUAGUUUGACUGGGGCGGUCUCCUCCUAAAGAGUAACGGAGGAGCACGAAGGUUGGCUAAUCCUGGUCGGACAUCAGGAGGUUAGUGCAAUGGCAUAAGCCAGCUUGACUGCGAGCGUGACGGCGCGAGCAGGUGCGAAAGCAGGUCAUAGUGAUCCGGUGGUUCUGAAUGGAAGGGCCAUCGCUCAACGGAUAAAAGGUACUCCGGGGAUAACAGGCUGAUACCGCCCAAGAGUUCAUAUCGACGGCGGUGUUUGGCACCUCGAUGUCGGCUCAUCACAUCCUGGGGCUGAAGUAGGUCCCAAGGGUAUGGCUGUUCGCCAUUUAAAGUGGUACGCGAGCUGGGUUUAGAACGUCGUGAGACAGUUCGGUCCCUAUCUGCCGUGGGCGCUGGAGAAUGAGGGGGGCUGCUCCUAGUACGAGAGGACCGGAGUGGACGCAUCACUGGUGUUCGGGUUGUCAUGCCAAUGGCACUGCCCGGUAGCUAAAUGCGGAAGAGAUAAGUGCUGAAAGCAUCUAAGCACGAAACUUGCCCCGAGAUGAGUUCUCCCUGACUCCUUGAGAGUCCUGAAGGAACGUUGAAGACGACGACGUUGAUAGGCCGGGUGUGUAAGCGCAGCGAUGCGUUGAGCUAACCGGUACUAAUGAACCGUGAGGCUUAACCUU